rnacentral:ncRNA from 2 species
CAGCAGCACACCGUGGUUUGUA